CUGGGUGAAUAUGCAGCAUAUAACAUCUACUUGGAUCAGAUUCUCAAUCGUAUAUGUUGCAUAAGGCAGGUGAAUUGACUAUCAAAAAAUGAAAGGAUAACGUUAAAUCGCCAAUAAUAAUGUAGAGGAAAUGAUACGUACACAUGGCAGUGGCAGGUAAAAAUGACUUUGCAGUUCUCAACACCGGGCGGAAGAUGCCUCUCCUUGGGCUGGGAACAUGGAAAAGUGAACCUGGCAAGGUUAAACAGGCAGUAAUCUGGGCCUUGCAGGCUGGCUACCGUCACAUCGACUGUGCUGCCAUCUACGGCAACGAGGUGGAGAUCGGAGAAGCUCUGCAGGAGACACUUGGCCCUGACAAAGCCUUGAGGCGAGAGGAUGUGUUUAUCACCUCCAAGCUGUGGAACACACAGCAUCACCCGGAGGAUGUGGAGCCCGCUCUGCUGAAGACACUGAAGGAGCUGAGUCUGGAGUACCUGGAUCUAUACCUCAUCCACUGGCCCUAUGCCUUCCAACAAGGUGACGCUCCUUUCCCCAAGUCGGAGGACGGCACCCUGCUGUACGACGACAUCGACUACAAGCUGACUUGGGCUGCCAUGGAAAAGCUGGUGGGAAAGGGCCUGGUCAGGGCUAUCGGCCUGUCCAACUUCAACAGCAAACAGAUAGACGACGUUCUCUCUGUAGCCAACAUCAAACCCACUGUGCUUCAGGUGGAAAGCCAUCCCUAUCUGGCUCAGGUGGAGUUGCUGGGACACUGCCGGGACAGAGGCCUGGUGAUCACAGCGUACAGCCCACUGGGGUCACCGGAUCGGGCAUGGAAGCAUCCUGAUGAGCCCAUCCUCCUGGAUGAAGCAGCAAUCGACACCCUGGCCAAGAAGUACAACAAGUCCCCAGCACAAAUUAUCCUUAGAUGGCAGACACAGCGAGGAAUAGUGACGAUCCCUAAAAGUGUGACAGAAUUUCGGAUCAAAGAGAAUAUUCAGGUGGAUAUUUUGUAUUUUUCUGUUAUCUAAGCCUAUUUCUUCACAAGUAUUGUGGUUUUGUAGUAUUCUAUUGUAUGAUGACAAUCUAUAAUUGUAAAUUGGUGCACAAUUCAGUCUACUACUACUACUACUACUACUACCCAUCUCAUAAAACUGUUUGCAGAAGUCCCAUCAUGUAGUCAUGUAAUAAUGAUUUAUUUGACUACUGAGUGUACGCCCAAUCUAAAUGUGUGUGCAUCCUCAGGUCUUUGACCCUAAUCUAAAUGUGUGUGCAUCCUCAGGUCUACGCCUAAUCUAAAUGUGUGUGCAUCCUCAGGUCUUUGACCCUAAUCUAAAUGUGUGUGCAUCCUCAGGUCUUUGACCCUAAUCUAAAUGUGUGUGCAUCCUCAGGUCUUUGACCCUAAUCUAAAUGUGUGUGCAUCCUCAGGUCUUUGACCCUAAUCUAAAUGUGUGUGCAUCCUCAGGUCUACGCCUAAUCUAAAUGUGUGUGCAUCCUCAGGUCUUUGACCCUAAUCUAAAUGUGUGUGCAUCCUCAGGUCUUUGACCCUAAUCUAAAUGUGUGUGCAUCCUCAGGUCUUUGACCCUAAUCUAAAUGUGUGUGCAUCCUCAGGUCUUUGACCCUAAUCUAAAUGUGUGUGCAUCCUCAGGUCUUUGACCCUAAUCUAAAUGUGUGUGCAUCCUCAGGUCUACGCCUAAUCUAAAUGUGUGUGCAUCCUCAGGUCUUUGACCCUAAUAUAAAUGUGUGUGCAUCCUCAGGUCUACGCCUAAUCUAAAUGUGUGUGCAUCCUCAGGUCUUUGACCCUAAUCUAAAUGUGUGUGCAUCCUCAGGUCUACGCCUAAUCUAAAUGUGUGUGCAUCCUCAGGUCUUUGACCCUAAUCUAAAUGUGUGUGCAUCCUCAGUUCUUUGACCCUAAUCUAAAUGUGUGUGCAUCCUCAGGUCUUUGACCCUAAUCUAAAUGUGUGUGCAUCCUCAGGUCUUUGACCCUAAUCUAAAUGUGUGUGCAUCCUCAGGUCUUUGACCCUAAUCUAAAUGUGUGUGCAUCCUCAGGUCUUUGACCCUAAUCUAAAUGUGUGUGCAUCCUCAGGUCUUUGACCCUAAUCUAAAUGUGUGUGCAUCCUCAGGUCUUUGACUUUACCCUGGAAGCGGAAGAGAUGAAGUGUAUAACAGCAUUGAACAGAGGCUGGCGCUACAUUGUACCAACUAUCACAGUUGAUGGGAAGCCCGUCCCCAGGGAUGCAGGACAUCCACACUACCCCUUCAGUGACCCCUAUUGAGCAAUUCCCCACUCUGCUGCCCUAUUUUGUGCCUUGGGAACUCACUCCCCUUCCUCAACCCCCUCCAAGGCUGUGUCCCAAUUCCAUUAAAUGUCUUCCUCCUUCCUAACCACUGAUUUGAUAAAGGAAAAGAGAGCCAUUUAAGGCAGGGCUGCCCAACACUCUUCCUGGAGAUCUACAGUCCUGUGGGGUUUCAGUCCAACCCUAAUUUAACACACCUGAUACUACUAAUUAGCUGCUCAACAAGACCUUAACAUGCUGAAUCAGAACCGCUAAAUUAGGGUUGGACUAAAAACCUACAGGACAGUAGAUCUCCAGGAAGAGGGUUUGGCAGCCCUGGCUUAAGGGGAAAGAAGGUUGUGGAAAAUCCAUCUCCUUUCAGAUCAUUGGUCAUGGUGGUGUGGUGUGACAAGAAAAGGGGUAUUUUUGACAGUAUUGGGACAUAGCAUGUUCUUCAUAAUAUUUUUUUGUUUGUUACUGCCCUGUUUGCUUUUGUGACGAGGGGUAAUUACAAUGCUUGUUUACCAGGAGGGAAAACUAUGAAUGGAGAGUUAACAUGCAGAAACAGUCUAACAACUCUGUCUGACCUGCUUUUGGACUCUGGCUGCACAAAAGCACUGAAGUGACAUGUUUAUGGAUAUGCAGUGUUAUGUUUUAAACUGACUUGCCUAGUUAAAUAAAAUAAAAAUGUUUUGUAUUUUAAAUAUAUUGAACCCAUCUAUCACCUUGCUGCCCAGUGCUUACAACCGACUCAACAUAAAGAGAUAUUUCCUACUUGCAA